GUAGAACGUCAGGUGGUGGGGCCGCGGUAACACCGAGAUGAGGCCUCCGGGCGGCCUAGAGGGGCCUGCGUGCGCUCGCGCUUCCGGGUUGGUGGUGUGGCGGGCUCUGGAGUGUAGAGGGUUCCCGCAAGUUGAUCGUCAGUUUACCCAGUCACGGCGGCACCUUCUGUGCUCCCAGCCUGCCACAAGCGCACCGUCCUAUGUGAGUUCCCCGCGCCCGGGGUGGAACUGGGCCCUGGGGGCGCUCCCGCCAACGGCGCUCCCAGGGCGCGGGGCGUCAUUCCAGUGUUCCUUACAGUCUCCCUGUGCUGUCAGACCCACGUGCCCUGUGAGCGCACUGCAAACCCUGCAGAGUGGAGACCCGGUAGCCCUGCGUGGGAGCCAGGAAGGCUCUUGGGUGGGGCGUCACAGGCUUCAGUGAAACAGGGAAGGGUCCCUAGCACCCCUGCUGUCCUCUUGGCUUCUAAGGUCUCCUUAUGCAAAGCCGGAAGACAGUGCAAGAAGCCAGGGACACCAGUCAUGCUUCCAACUGCUUGGCCUCAGGCUGGAAGCUCCAUCCUGCCUAUGAAUGGAAAACCACUGCUUUGGGCAUCAGAGGCUGGAAAUAGACUGGGAGCUUCCUGUCAAGGCCUGUGAGGACACCCGUGCAGGUUCUAGGGGUAAAACUCAGGUCAUCAGA